GACGAACGCUGGCGGCGUGCCUAAUACAUGCAAGUCGAGCGCAGGAAGCGCGCGGAACCCUUCGGGGGGAAGCACGCGGAAUGAGCGGCGGACGGGUGAGUAACACGUAAGGAACCUGCCCCAGGGACUGGGAUAACUCCGAGAAAUCGGAGCUAAUACCGGAUCUGUCACGAGACCGCAUGGUCUUGUGAUGAAAGGCGCUCCGGCGUCACCUUGGGAUGGCCUUGCGGUGCAUUAGCUAGCUGGCGGGGUAACGGCCCACCAAGACUACGAUGGGUAGCCGGCCUGAGAGGGUGACCGGCCACACUGGGACUGAGAUACGGCCCAGACUCCUACGGGAGGCAGCAGUGAGGAAUAUUGCGCAAUGGCCGAAAGGCUGACGCAGCAACGCCGCGUGAGGGAUGAAGUUCUUAGGAAUGUAAACCUCUGUUAGAGGGGACGAACAGGCGAUUGUUGAACAGGCAGUUGCUUUGACGGUACCUUCAGAGAAAGCCCCGGCUAACUCCGUGCCAGCCGCCGCUGUAACAC
rnacentral:rRNA from 1 species